GUCGAAAUGCCUGAAUAAAUGAAUGUUCGCUCAAGUUUGGAACUACUUCGAGGUGAACUGCUCUUGUCGAUGCGCAUGUAAAUAAACAUAUAUACGCUUUCCUUAAAGUUCCUUCUGAGUUCUUUAUGUAUAAAGCACCUGUAUAAUCGACUCCUGUGACGGUAAAUGGCGAAGCUUCCUGUACUCUUAUUUUCGGUAGGGGUGGCGGAUCCGGUUUGUUGUAAGAUUUUCCCACAACUUUGCGGCAAGUUACACAUUUGUUUAAUACUUCUUAACAAAUUGUC
rnacentral:lncRNA from 1 species